GGGAGUGGUAACAUCAGGACCAGUAAGUUUCUCUAAUGUUUCCAUUUGCUAGGAAGGGAGGGAGAGAAAGGUUGGGAUUGACCUGGCUGUUAAGGAGCACUGAGCCCUGCUGGGGUGAAGAAUUCCUGCUGAGCCCUGCCUGGUGCUGGCCUGCUGGUGACCCCAUGGUGACCCUAUGGACGAGCCACCCUAGGGCACCCCUGCAUUGCCUGCUUCUCUUGGACGUGGAGAUGGGGGUGAUGCAUGCUGAGUUCUGACUGGCUGAAUCCACUUACUGUUUCAUCAGAUGGUGUUUACACUUGUGCAGCUGCUCCACACCGUAUGCCUCUGCGGGCAGGAAGCCUGACCUUAGAGAAGAUUCUCCCACACCCGAGUCUGCGUGUGUCCCGAGGGAUGCCCCUGCGUGCUCUUCUCCCUGAAGGCGCCUCUGUUCCCGCCACGCCGUGAACACAGCACCAUGGCGUUCCGGGGCGGAGGAGAGGAGGUCCAGGGUUUUCUCUUACCUCGGAAGGGCGCUGCACUGCUCUGACGGACGGCUGAACACAAAGCAGAUGUAGGUAUUCAAAGGGAUCCCUGACCUCCAAGGUUAAGAACCACUGAAGGAGAACAAUUUAAGGUAAAAGUAGGCCUCUCGGGGAAGACAACCAUGCCCAAGGCCAGUUAUUGCAUUUGUGGGCUCUGAUGGGGCCCAGUUUGACACUAUUAGUCACAAAGACACAGGAGAUUCGGGGUAAAUGGAAAGUGUACUUUAUCACCUGUGCUUUGGGUGCCAUAUGUAAAACAUCAUUGACAAAUCCAAUGUCAUGAAAUGUUUUUUAUACAUGGUAUAAGGUGAGGGUCCAACUAAUUAUUUUGCUUGUGAUACCCAGGAUGUUUCUUCCAUUUAUUUGUGUCUUUUGACACUGUUUUGUAGUUUCAUUGUAUGAGUCUUUCACCUAGUUUUUUUUUUACUUCUUUUGUUGAUGUAUUGUCAAUGGAAUUGUUUCCUUAAUUUCCAUUUUGGAUUGUUCAUUGUUGGUGUGUAGCAAUACAACAGAUUUUCUGCAUGAUGACUUUGUAUCCUGUAAUUUAUUGAAUUCAUUUAUUAGCUGUAAUAGUUAAUCUUCCUUUCCAACUUGGAUGCCUUUCAUUUCUUUUUCUUGCCUAAUUGCUCUGAACUUCUAAUAUUAUAAUGAAUAGAAGUGGUGAAUGUGGGCAUCCUUGUCUUAUUCCAGAUAUUAGAAGAAAAGCUGUCAGUCUUCACCAUUGAGUAUGACAUUAGUUGUGUGUUUUUCAUAUAGGGUCUUCAUUUUGUUGAGGCAAUUUACUUCUAUUCCAAGUUUAAUUUGUCAUGUGGUUUUUGUCCUUCAGUCUGUUAAUUGUGGUACAUUACAUGGAUUUGCAUAUGUUGAAUCAGGCUUACAUUCCAGGAAUAAAUCCUACUCAUUCAAAUAAGCUGCUAAAUUUGGUAUUUUGUUGAGGAUUUCUACAUCAAUAUUUGUAUGGGAUUUUCUCUGUUACUUAUGUCUAUUAUAUUCUUCCUUCUAGCUUCUCAAUUCCUUUACAUAUAUGGCUGAAUGUGAGUGUCUUAAUUUCCCAGAGUCUCACCUCCUCAAUAUCAUAACUUUGCCAUGCAAGGGUAACUGAAAAUGCCACAAAAUUGAGUGUUUGGUUGCUGGAGAACUUUCUAGAGCUCAUAUAGGGGCAGCUCAGCCAGUGUCCAGGUGUUUUCACGAGGGAACAAAGACUUUGAACCUCCUCAUCUGCCAUUUUGCUGAUGUCCCUCAACCACACAUGGGGGAAUUUUUAAAGGACUAUUAUUUCCGUCAUUCUCAUUGCUAGUUUGACUACAUCCCUACUGCCACAGAGUCACCUCCUAUCAGUCAAGUUCCAGCAGGUACUGGCCAAUGCUUAUCUUGUUUGUUCUUUUGGAUGCAUUUUGAUCCUUUCUUCUGGCGAAAGGUCCUCCAUGGGUCUCUGUGAAGAUACAUUCCAGGGGGUUUCUUUCCCCCUUCUUCCCAAAGUUUAAUUAGUACCAAGGUCCUGUCCCUUUUUUUCAUCCCAUGCUUGCCCACUCCCUGGGUGAUGCCACCACUUAUAUACUGAUGACUUUCAUGAGCAUCUCUGCUUCGAUGUUUCAUGAACAUAUCCAAAACCUCCAGCCAAAUCUUGGUGUCAUCCCUGAUAGCCAAUGGAUGCCUAGUUCUGUACUGAUCACCAUACUGCUAACAGAAUAAAAGUCCAAUUCUGAUUGUCCCAUGCCUGCUUGAAAAUAUUUCUAUGUUCUGGUAUCUGCUUUUGCCUUUAUUCCUUCACACAUGCUCAUAUAGGACACAUUAUAUACCCAAGACAGGUGUCCCAUAAAUGUAUGUUUAAUUAUUACUUGAGGGCAGGUUGUUGGAGCUAAGAAGAUAUUGUCAUGCUUCUCAUAGACUUGGAGGCAGGCAUAUGAGGAAAUAUUUCCCUGUAACUAGUGUUACCUGGAAGCUUUUAGAAAUUCAGCAUCCCAAGCUCUACCUCGACCUACCACAUGAGAAUAAAGACCCCCAGGUGAUACACACUGGUCUAGUGGAUUUGGGGGAUGGUUGAGGAGAAGGAAUAGAAAAAAAACCUGAGUAUUUUUCUGUUAGGAAAAGUGAUCAACUGUGUACCAUAUGUUGCCUGAUGUGCUCACUAUCACAAACCAGCAAUAACCCUUGAGGGCAUGGGAGCUCCAUGAUUAUGAAGUAUAGAUAAGGAGGCUCCAGACAGACAUGUUGAUUGGCCAGCAUUGCCCCAGAUUUACCUGGUCCACAAAUGGCUUAUGAGUUGCAAGUGAACUCAGUGGCCAGUAACAUUUGAUCUUCAUAAGAGAUGGCCAUAGUGUGGUAAGGUGUGAUUGUUUUGCAAAAAUCACACCUGGGGGUGGGAGUGAAGGGACCUGAAUAUAUGGCCAAAUACAGUUACACAAAGAAUUAAAAGCCUGUUGUUUUGGGGUGUCCUAGCUGGCCACGCUUAAUGGUAUGGCUCAGAUGCCAACCAACCCAAAACUAUGCCUGCCCAAUCAGAAUGGUGAUUCUACUAAUUAGUGCCAGCCACAGACAAACUAGAAUAAAUGUUACUACCCAAAUAGGUAGUUCUUGCAUGCCUAGUAGGUUUUGAACAUAGACUUCUGCAGAAACAGAGUAUAUGCAAUUAUAUCAUUUCCCCCAAGCACCUCAUUUUUUUUUUGGUGCCAACAGCAUUCUAAAAUGGUGGAGGGAUCAGAUGUGUAGGAUGACUGUUCCAAUAGAGGCCUUAUUUCAAAUCACAAUUAAACUUUCCCCUCCAAAUGGAGAGAGUCAUGGUUCCUCUAUUCUAUUCAGAGGAGGCCCCAGGGGUCAAACGAGUCUGUUUGUGUGCUCAGCUUGCCUGGGACUUAACCUAUAGGCAGAGAAGGGAGUGGGUGGUUACAAAGUGAUCUGGCUAAGCUUCUACCUUUGCUGGCUGGAUCAAUGGUUCUUUACCCUGGCUGGAUAUCAGCAUCACCCGAGGAGUUUCUAAAAAUGACCCAGGCUUGGAUCCCACCCCAGAGCAAUUGACUUAGAAUCUCUAGGAUGAAUAGCCUCAAUGUUAGGCUUUUAAAAAAGUUGACUCAGGGAUUGUAACCAUGCACUCCAGCUAGGAACCCUUGGCUGAGGACAAUACCACACUCCCAGAUGGAACUUCUCAGAACUUUAAGUCACCAGCCCCAGUGAGAAGAGAAUGGGGGCCUCAGGGUAGAGGGAAAUCAACAGGAAAAGAGCAAUGGUGUGGUGAUGUGUCAGAGAAGAGUAUCAGAAACUCUGGGGUUUAAGGCAGGGGUACUGACACAGGGGAAUGUGAAAGGUCUGUUAUCACAGAGGAGGUGGCAAUGGUGGAAUUUUCCUUUCUACUGGGGCAGGGUCCACACCUUUAGAUGUUUCCCUUACAAAUAAAACCCUCUCUGGCU